rnacentral:rRNA from 1 species
ACCGAGCGACACCGCGUGAGCGACGAAGGCCUUCGGGUCGUAAAGCUCUUUUAUUUGGGAAGAAUGCAUAGUAAUAUGUUUGACGGUACCAUUUGAAUAAGCCCCAGCUAACUACGUGCCAGCAGCUGCGGUAAUACGUAGGGGGCAAGCGUUAUCCGGAAUCACUGGGCGUAAAGGGUCCGCAGGUGUCCCGUUAAGUUAGAUGUUAAAUCGCAAGGCUCAACCUUGCGGCUGCAUCUAAUACUGACAGGAUAGAGGAUAGGUGACGGAAGUGGAGUUCCUGGUGGAGAGGUAAAAUCCGUAGAUAUCAGGAGGAGCACCCGUGGCGUAGGCGGCUUCCGAACCUAUUCCUGACACUCAGGGACGAAAGCUAGGGGAGCAAACAGGAUUAGAUACCCUGGUAGUCCUAGCUGUAAACGAUGAAUACUAGAUAGUGGGUGCUACACCGUACUCACCGUCGUAGCUAACGCGUUAAGUAUUUCGCCUGGGAACUACGUUCGCAAGUUUGAAACUCAAAGGAAUUGACGGGUCCCCGCACAAGCAGCGAGGCAUGUGGCUUAAUUCGAUGCAACACGAAGAACCUUACCUGGACUUGACAUGUUUCUGAAAGGCCGGAGAAACCCGGUCCCUUCCAGUUUACUGGAACAGUUUCACAGGUGGUGCAUGGUUGUCGUCAGCUCGUGUCGUGAGAUGUAAGGUUAAGUCCUUAAACGAGCGUAACCUUUGUCAUUAGUUGCCACCGGUUCGGCCGAGCACUCUAAUGAGACCGCUAGCGACAAGCUAGAGGAAGAUGGAGAUGACGUCAAAUCCUCACGUCCCUUAUGUCCAGGGCCGCACACAUGCGACAAUGGUAGAGACAGCGGGUUGCGACGGGGUAACCCUGAGCUAAUCCAUAAACUCUGCCUCAGUACAGAUCGAGGGCUGAAAUUCGACCUCGU